AAACCAACUGGGAUUACCUUAGUAACGGCGAGUGAAGCGGUAAAAGCUCAAAUUUGAAAUCUGGUACUUUCAGUGCCCGAGUUGUAAUUUGUAGAAUUUGUCUUUGAUUAGGUCCUUGUCUAUGUUCCUUGGAACAGGACGUCAUAGAGGGUGAGAAUCCCGUUUGGCGAGGAUACCUUUUCUCUGUAAGACUUUUUCGAAGAGUCGAGUUGUUUGGGAAUGCAGCUCAAAGUGGGUGGUAAAUUCCAUCUAAAGCUAAAUAUUGGCGAGAGACCGAUAGCGAACAAGUACAGUGAUGGAAAGAUGAAAAGAACUUUGAAAAGAGAGUGAAAAAGUACGUGAAAUUGUUGAAAGGGAAGGGCAUUUGAUCAGACAUGGUGUUUUUUUAAUGUGCAAGUCUCUUGUGGACAUGUGCCUCUGGAAAUUAACACUGGGCCAACAUCAGUUCUGGCGGCAGGAUAAAUCAUUAAGAAUGUAGCUACCUCGGUAGUGUUAUAGCUUUUUGGAAUACUGCCAGCUGGGAUUGAGGACUGCGCUUCGGCAAGGAUGUUGGCAUAAUGGUUAAAUGCCGC
rnacentral:rRNA from 2 species